UACGUAGGAGACGAGCGUUGUCCGGAGUUACUGGGCGUAAAGGGUGCGCAGGCGGCCCUGCGCGUCGCGAGUGAAAUCUCCCGGCUCAACUGGGAGGGUGGUCGCGAGACGGCAGGGCUUGAGGCUCGGUGAGGGGCGUGGAAUUCCGGGUGGAGCGGUGAAAUGCGUAGAUAUUCGGAGGAACACCAGUGGCGAAGGCGGCUCACUGGCUCGAUACUGACGCUGAGGUGCGAAAGCGUGGGGAGCAAACAGG
rnacentral:rRNA from 1 species